rnacentral:rRNA from 1 species
UACAGAGGGGGCAAGCGUUGUUCGGAAUUACUGGGCGUAAAGGGCGCGUAGGCGGCCUGUUAAGUCGAACGUGAAAUCCCCGGGCUCAACCCGGGAACUGCGUCCGAUACUGGAUGGCUUGAGUUUGGGAGAGGGAUGCGGAAUUCCAGGUGUAGCGGUGAAAUGCGUAGAUAUCUGGAGGAACACCGGUGGCGAAGGCGGCAUCCUGGACCAACACUGACGCUGAGUGAGCGAAAGCCAGGGGAGCAAACGGG